UUAUCGUACAACGUGCGUGGAGGGCGUGCGAGGGCUGUCGCUGACUUUUUGUUGACGCAAAAGUCGUGCACGCCGGAGCACGUCCUCUCGCAUAAAAUCCAUCUCACCCUUUUGUGCACCACCGCGUGGGCACCUUUUGGGAUCGAACCGAUCCUGGAGGGGGCUUGCGUUUUCACACAAACCCCUUUUAAAAAAGUGUAGAAUGACCCCAUUUUGCGAUGACACGCAAUCAAUACAACUUUCAACAACGGAUCUCUUGGCUCUCGCAUCGAUGAAGAACGCAGCGAAAUGCGAUACGUAAUGUGAAUUGCAGAAUUCAGUGAAUCAUCGAAUCUUUGAACGCACCUUGCGCCCCUUGGUAUUCCGAGGGGCACACCCGUUUGAGUGUCGUGAAAUUCUCAACCUUCUCGGUUUUCUUCUGGACACCGAAGGAGGCUUGGACAUUGGAGGCCUUUGCUGGCGUCUCUUAGACCCAGCUCCUCUUAAAUGAAUUAGCGGGGUCCUCUUUGCCGAUCCUUGACAUGUGAUAAGAUGUUUCCAUGACUUGGUUUCUGGCUCUGUUGCAUUUGGGACCUGCUUCUAACCGUCUCGACGAGACAACGUUUGGGCGUGUCUCCCUUCUCGGGAGACUCUCUCAACCCCACGAACCCU
rnacentral:rRNA from 1 species